ensembl:lincRNA
AAUUUGCCACUACGAGUUUGUUCCUUCCAAGUCGCCGUACAAACACAGGAAGUCAAGUCAUAUCUUUGUUGCUACGACAACGUUUGGCCAGUCUCACCAAAAGUAAUGUGCUCACCAGAGUAAAUAUCAGGGUUAACCAAAGUAAAGAAAUCUCCUGAUAAUUGAAAACCAAGUCAUCUGCACGGGGGAUGCAGCGACGUCAUAAUGGCUGUUCCAGUGUGGGAUCUCCCCAUCCCGCUGCCUGCCAUCAUCAUGAUUUCGGUUGGACUCUAUAUGGUUUUUCUUGCAGUCGUGCUGUGGUGUCAUCACUGCCUCAAGGCUAAAUGUGAUCCUCGGUGUUCAGACUGCUGUGUGGGUUUCUCUCCGUGCGAGUACUGUUUAGUGUGUGCACAGUCAUGUGACUGUCGUCCUCCAUCUCUGAGAUCCUGUCUAGACAACUCCUGUCCUUCUCCUAAUUGUACCAUGAUGGAUUGCGCCUGUACUUGUCAACCGCCAGAGUGCGACUCCAUCAACUGCAUCUGCUUCGAGAUCAAGUUUAAAUAGAAAAGUGGAGGGAUGAAGGAAGAUGCCCACCCACUUUACUAUAAAAGAUGCCUUACAAACUCCAUGUGAUACUUGAGCAUGUUUUACGCUAAAACUCUCAUCGUUCUGUAACGUUUGCAUCAUUUGGGAAACAUUACAGCAUCUCCAACAAAUCAGAGCAAUUGAAGAAAUGAAAAAUCUGACAUGAAAAUUUCAAACAUGACUUUCUAUGACUGUUUUUCUUUUGCUAAAGUGUCAUAUGAGAGUUAUUGGACAUAUUUUUGUCAUAAAAAGUGCUGUAAGUACACAAGCAUUACAGAAUUGCAGAGCGCUAAGUUAAGGGUUUUUAUAUAUAGUUGUAGCACUAAGAUAGUGAUUACUUGAAAAAUUUAGUAAAUCCAUUGCCUUAAAGUUGAUUUUACCUGUAAGUAAAAAUGUAAAUAAUUCUGUUGUAACUUAAAGCUGUUAUGUUCACUUAACUUAUUUAAAGAUUUGCAAUGACAAAACAGUGGUAUUGGUGUCUCAUGUCAUCAUAUACAAUAAUACAGCCGUCUAUUUUACUAAGUAAUAUUUUUAAUGCAAUGGAUUUACACCCUUUUUAAAAGUAAAGUCAAUUAAUCUCUUUUAUACUGUGUAUGGCUUUCAGUGCCAUGAACUUUUAAAACAGAUUUUUACUUUUCAGCACAAAGGUUUGUUUACAAAUGUUUUCAUUUAUGUAUUUUAUAUAGUCUUAGUCAGAAAUCAAUAAUUAUUUUUGUCAUAUAUGGAAAAAUUAGAGCAUUUGAAAAUUGGUAUGCUAAUAUUUGUUCGAACAUUUUAUAGGAAUUGAAAUUAAUAAGUCAUUUAGAGCAUUUAUAUUUUGUCAUUUUUUAGCAUUUAUCAGAUUGAAACAUUUUUUUUUUUUUCAUUUUGCCAAAUACAGAUUUAAUUUGUUUUACUCUUCUAUAGCUAAAACUUUAGUAUUGUUUUGUCUGAAAUGGAAUCUGAACAUGUCUGGUGCCUUUCUUGUGAUUUUAUGCCACUAAAUGCUCUAAAUGACUACAUUUUACUUUCAAUUGAACAUGAACCAUCAGUAGUUUACACGCAUUGUUCCACUUUGAUUCACUAAAUAACCCUUGUCAUAACUUGUUUUUGUGGUAUCUAGUGUAAUGAUGAAAGUGUAUAUUAUUGACAGGCCAUCAUUUUGAUUGUUAUAUAUGAAAUAUGAUCUAACAAUAUGUUUAUAAUAAUGUUUUAUGUCAUGUACUGUUAUGGAUGAGGCCAUAUUUUAAUGCCAACAGCCAGUUUACUGUGAUUUACAUAAUCUUUCUGUGUUGCAGUCACCAUAGUCCUUUUUUGUAUGAAUUUUUUUUAUAUAGAAAUAUGUUAUUUUUGUAAAUGUGUAGAUUUAAAAUUAAAGAUUUCCUGCAAAAA